AUUUUAGGCAACCCUGUUCCUGAGUCACUGUCUUUGAGAGGAAGUUGUUCAACAUCAUUAGACAAUGAGCUACUCUCAACAGCAAUAACAAGAUCUUGGCAUCUAGGCAAGAGACCUGAAGAUAUUUAAAAUCCCUAAUUAAAGCCAGG